rnacentral:rRNA from 1 species
GACGUAGGGUCCAAGCGUUGUCCGGAUUUACUGGGCGUAAAGAGCGCGUAGGCGGUCUGUUAAGUGUGAAGUGAAAUCUCCAGGGCUCAACCCGGAAACUGCUUUACAUACUGGCAGACUUGAGGAAUGCAGAGGUUUGUGGAAUUCCCGGUGUAGCGGUGAAAUGCGCAGAUAUCGGGAAGAACACCCGUGGCGAAGGCGGCUCUCUAGUACGUGACUGACGCUGAGACGCGAAAGCGUGGGGAGCGAACAGG